GGAAGAGAAACUUCGACACAACCAAGGAAAACAGACACAACACCUAUAUCAGAAGAACCUCAUUGUAAAACAGCAACCACUCCACCUUCAUCAUCCUCAACAACACAAGAUACUUACAAAACCUCUGCAGCAACAGUGAACCAAAAUAUACACAAUGUUGGAAUUAGCUUCUCUUUAGUUAUUGUCAUUCUGAUGGUUUUACUGCUGCUGAUAUCCAGUGUAGUUGCAUUUGUUUGUUGGCGAUGCAAAGGUGGAAGGUGUGUCAAGAACAUCAUUACUGACGUAAGUCUGAACUGUAAGGGAAAGCCGGAGGAUAAGGUGAGUUUACAUCCAUGCAUGGCUCUGAUCUUAUGUGGGUUAUUUAACUUUUCAAAUCAGAUUCCUACAGUAGUCCUUUUCAUGUUCUACAUUCAUUUUAUGUUUACAAAAUAUUGUUUUUAUUGUCACUACAUGAUAUUGCACUACUGAGAUAGAGAAUGGUUUUCUCUAUUCUAGCAAUGUGUGUUUGAUUUCUCCAAUAUCGGACAUGCAUAUAUUUAACAUGAGUUUAUUAUGUGUGAAAAAUGCUAAAUUUGCUAACUAUCUUUUGUCUAAAAUGAUCAAAAACAGCACUUUUGGUUUUCUGCCAAAGGAUGAUAAAAAGAAGAAGAAUGAUUUCAAUCCAAAAAGAUUAAAUUAUAUAUUUGCAUGUAAUUUUAAACACUUUAGAAAAUACAGUAAUGGUAAUAAAAAAUAAAAAAAAGUGAUGAAUCAUGCUGUUUUUAUCGCUCGGACAUGUUUAAACAUUUUUUUUUAGAUUAGAUUAG